rnacentral:siRNA from 1 species
UUGGAUCGCAAGUAGUGAUGGUA